rnacentral:rRNA from 1 species
UACAGAGGUCUCAAGCGUUUGUUCGGAUUCAUUGGGCGUAAAGGGUGUGUAGGUGGCGCCGUAAGUCGGGUGUGAAAUUUCGAGGCUUAACCUCGAAACUGCAUUCGAUACUGCGGUGCUUGAGGACUGGAGAGGAGACUGGAAUUUAUGGUGUAGCAGUGAAAUGCGUAGAUAUCAUAAGGAAGACCAGUGGCGAAGGCGGGUCUCUGGACAGUUCCUGACACUGAGACACGAAGGCCAGGGGAGCAAACGGG